UGGGGAAUAUUGCACAAUGGGCGCAAGCCUGAUGCAGCAAUGCCACGUGAGUGAUGAAGGAUUUCGGUCUGUAAAGCUCUUUUAGCAGGGAAGAUAAUGACGGUACCUGCAGAAAAAGUCCCGGCUAACUCCGUGCCAGCAGCCGCGGUAAUACGGAGGGGGCGAGCGUUAUUCGGAUUUACUGGGCGUAAAGGGUCCGUAGGUGGUUUUGUAAGCGAGAUGUGAAAGCCCGGGGCUCAACCCCGGAACUGCAUUUCGAACUGCAUGACUAGAGUUAUGGAGAGGAUAGUGGAAUUUCCAGUGUAGAGGUGAAAUUCGUAGAUAUUGGAAGGAACACCGAAGGCGAAGGCAGCUAUCUGGACAUAUACUGACACUGAGGGACGAAAGCGUGGGGAGCAAACAGG
rnacentral:rRNA from 1 species